rnacentral:rRNA from 1 species
CCCUUAGAUGUUCUGGGCUGCACGCGCGCUACACUGAUGCGCUCAACGAGUUUACGACCUUGCCCGGAAGGGUUGGGUAAUCUUUUUAAAACGCAUCGUGAUGGGGAUAGAUUAUUGCAAUUAUUAAUCUUUAACGAGGAAUUCCUAGUAAGCGCGAGUCAUCAGCUCGUGCUGAUUACGUCCCUGCCCUUUGUACACACCGCCCGUCGCUCCUACCGAUUGAAUGUGUUGGUGAGGAGCUCGGAUUGGCAGCAGUUGGUGGUUCGCCACCGGCUAUUGCUGAGAAGUCCUCCAAACCGCCCCAUUUAGAGGAAGGAGAAGUCGUAACA